rnacentral:tRNA from 1 species
GUAAAUAUAGUUUAACAAAAACAUUAGAUUGUGAGUCUAAUAAUAGGAGACUGCACCUCCUUAUCUACCG